GUGGGGAAUUUUGGACAAUGGGCGCAAGCCUGAUCCAGCAAUGCCGCGUGCAGGAAGAAGGCCUUCGGGUUGUAAACUGCUUUUGUACGGAACGAAACGGUCCUGGUUAAUACCUGGGGCUAAUGACGGUACCGUAAGAAUAAGCACCGGCUAACUACGUGCUAGCAGCCGCGGUAAUACGUAGGGUGCGAGCGGUAAUCGGAAUUACUGGGCGUAAAGCGUGCGCAGGCGGUGCUGUAAGACAGGCGUGAAAUCCCCGGGCUCAACCUGGGAAUUGCGCUUGUGACUGCAGUGCUGGAGUACGGCAGAGGGGGAUGGAAUUCCGCGUGUAGCAGUGAAAUGCGAAGAUAUGCGGAGGAACACCGAUGGCGAAGGCAGUCCCCUGGGCCUGUACUGACGCUCAUGCACGAAAGCGUGGGGAGCAAACAGGAUUAGAAACCCCAGUAGUCC
rnacentral:rRNA from 1 species